GCUGGCGAAUGAUGAGACCGAUUCUUCAUUCAUGCGUGUCAGCUGAGGUUGAACCUGGUGCUUCACCUGGAACGGCCGCUGAUUUAACUUCUAAUCUUCUCUCUGACGCCAGU
rnacentral:snoRNA from 1 species